rnacentral:rRNA from 1 species
CCUACGGGAGGCAGCAGUGAGGAAUAUUGGUCAAUGGCCGUAAGGCUGAACCAGCCAAGUCGCGUGAAGGAAGAAGGAUCUAUGGUUUGUAAACUUCUUUUAUAGGGGAAUAAAGGUAUCCACGUGUGGAUAUUUGCAUGUACCCUAUGAAUAAGCAUCGGCUAACUCCGUGCCAGCAGCCGCGGUAAUACGGAGGAUGCGCGCGUUAUCCGGAUUUAUUGGGUUUAAAGGGUGCGUAGGCUGUUUUUUAAGUCAGCGGUGAAAGUUUGUGGCUCAACCAUAAAAUUGCCGUUGAAACUGGAAGACGUGAGUGUGUUUGAGGUAGGCGGAAUGCGUGGUGUAGCGGUGAAAUGCAUAGAUAUCACGCAGAACUCCGAUUGCGAAGGCAGCUUACUAAGCCAUAACUGACACUGAAGCACGAAAGCGUGGGGAUCAAACAGGAUUAGAUACCCUGGUAGUC